CUUGUGGAGGUCCAAAAAGGAGGUCUAGCUGCUGGACCAUAACAUCUGGGUUUGGAAUUCUUCCAAAAACAACCUCACAAUCCUUCCUGAACUGCCUGUUGGCUUGCCAUUGCAUCAUGGCUAUCAUGUUAUUUAGAGUAUCCUGGCUCCUUUGCUCUGCAGCUUCUUGUCGGAGUAAAAUAUCCUGUAUCUGGUUCAUCCUUCUAGAACUAGAUCUGGAACGUCUACUCCUAGUGCUUCCAUGGGCUAAAUGC
rnacentral:lncRNA from 1 species